AGAAAUGACGACAUCUGACACCAAAAGCGAAACAUCCCAGGAAAAGCCUGAAAUGACCUCGUCUGACACCAAAAAGGAAACAGUCCAGGAAACAGAAAAGCCUGAAAUGACGACAUCUGACACCAAAAGAGAAACAUCCCAGGAUAAAGAAAAGUCUG